rnacentral:rRNA from 1 species
CGCGCAGGCGGCCAUACAAGUCAGGGGUGAAAGCCCGGAGCUCAACUCCGGAAUUGCCUUUGAAACUGUUUGGCUUGAGUACGGGAGAGGUGAGUGGAAUUCCCAGUGUAGAGGUGAAAUUCGUAGAUAUUGGGAAGAACACCGGUGGCGAAGGCGGCUCACUGGCCCGUUUCUGACGCUCAAGCGCGACAGCGUGGGGAUCAAACAGGAUUAGAUACCCUGGUAGUCCACGCCGUAAACGAUGAAUGCUAGCCGUUGGGCAGCUUGCUGUUCAGUGGCGCAGCUAACGCAUUAAGCAUUCCGCCUGGGGAGUACGGCCGCAAGGUUGAA